GCGGGUAUCGUAUAAUGGCAUUACCUGAGCUUCCCAAGCUCAUGACACGGGUUCGAUUCCCGUUAUCCGCUCCA
rnacentral:tRNA from 1 species